rnacentral:sRNA from 1 species
GUCUGAGACCCCUGAAGGGGACACAAGAGGAGGAAGGACAUGGAUCAGUGUUUUCUUUCUUGAAGCUACUGUUACCACCCCUGGAAAAGUUCUUCAGGAAUAAGUGACAGUAAGAAUGACAAGGGAUUAGGACUGGCUUCCUCUUAUAAAUAAUAAAAUCCAAAGAGAAGUGACUUGAGUCUCCAGGUUUAAGGAAGAGCAACUAGAAGUCGUCCAAACACCUGCAUCUCAUAAGGAGAAGAAAAGUCCACCUGGAUCUUGUUUCUGGACUGAGAUGGAUGGAGAGGCCACAGUGAAGCCCGGAGAACAAAAGGAAGUGGUGAGGAGAGGAAGAGAAGUGGACUACUCCAGGCUCAUUGCUGGCACUUUACCACAAUCUCACGUCACCAGCAGGAGGGCGGGAUGGAAAAUGCCCCUCUUCCUCAUACUGUGCCUGCUACAAGGUUCUUCUUUCGCUCUUCCACAAAAAAGACCCCAUCCGAGAUGGCUGUGGGAGGGCUCUCUCCCCUCCAGGACCCAUCUCCGGGCCAUGGGAACACUCACGCCUUCCUCGCCCCUCUGCUGGCGGGAGGAGAGCUCCUUUGCAGCUCCAAAUUCAUUGAAGGGCUCAAGGCUGGUGUCAGGGGAGCCUGGAGGAGCUGUCACCAUCCAGUGCCAUUAUGCCCCCUCAUCUGUCAACAGGCACCAGAGGAAGUACUGGUGCCGUCUGGGGCCCCCAAGAUGGAUCUGCCAGACCAUUGUGUCCACCAACCAGUAUACUCACCAUCGCUAUCGUGACCGUGUGGCCCUCACAGACUUUCCACAGAGAGGCUUGUUUGUGGUGAGGCUGUCCCAACUGUCCCCGGA